rnacentral:ncRNA from 1 species
GAAUUAUCGUAAUUUGUUUUAACCUAAGACAUAAACAAUAACCAGGAUAAUCUUUUUAUUCUAAAAAGAACUCCUAAAAGAAAAGAAACUAAUCUUAAAGAAAGUGAUAAACAAAUAAAAAUAGAAGAUCUGUUUUGACAUGAAAUAGAUAUAUCCAUAUAUCUUUGACUUAUUUUUAUGAAAUGAUAAAAUAUGGUAAAACCUCUACCAAAAUUUGGUUCACUUAGGAAUGGGAGCAGUAGUGCAUAGAAAAGUGUGAUAGUCCAGUAGUCGAAAGUAUCACUAGUUUAAGCUCUGACCCGAGUAGCAUGGGGCACGUGGAAUCCCAUGUGAAUCAGCAAGGACCACCUUGCAAGGCUAAAUACUCUUGGGUGACCGAUAGCGAAGUAGUACCAUGAGGGAAGGGUGAAAAGAACCUCUAUUGAGGAGUGAAAUAUAGCAUGAAACCGUAAGCUCCCAAGCAGUGGGAGGAGCCCAGGGCCCUGACUGCGUGCCUAUUGAAGAAUGAGUCGAUGACUCAUAGGUAGUGGCUUGGUUAAGGGAACUCAUCGGAGCCGUAACUAAAUCGAGUCUUCAUAGGGAAAUUUUCACUGCCUAUGGACUCAAACCUGGGUGAUCUAUCCAUGACUAGGAUAAAGCUUGGGUGAAACUAAGUGGAGGUCUGAACCGAUUGAUGUUGAAGAAUCAGCGGAUGAGUUAUGGUUAGGGGUAAAAUGCCCCUCGAACCUAGAGUUAGCUGGUUCUCCCCAAAAUGUAUUGAGGCGUAGCAAUCUACUGGACAUCUAAGGGUAAAGCACUAUUUCGGUGUAAGCCACGAGAGCAGUACCAAAUCGAGGCAAACUAUGAAUACUAGAUAUGACCUCAAAAUAAUAGGGGUCGAGGUCGAUCAGUGAGACGAUGAGGGAUAAGCUUUAUCAUUGAGAGGGAAACAAUCUGGAUCACCAACUAAGGCCCCAAAAUGACCUCUCCGUGAUAAAGGAGGUAGGGGUGUAGAGACUACCAUGAGGUUUCCAUAGAAGUAGCCACCCUUGAAAGAGUGCGUAGGAGCUCACUAAUUAAGAGCUCUUGCGCCUAAGAUGAAUGGGGCUAAAAAAUUAGCCGAAGCUGUGGGAUAUAAAAAUGUAUCGGUAGGGGAGCGUUCUGUCUUAAGGGGAAGCACCCACAUGAGUGGGAGUAGACGAAGCGAAAGUGAGAAUGUCGGCUUGAGUAAUGCAAACAUUGGUUAGAAUCCAAUGCCCCGAAAAAUGAUGGGCUCCUCCACAAGGUUCAUCCACAAAGGGUGAGUUAAGGCCUAAGCUCAGGCCGAAAGGCGUAGUCGAUGGACAACAGGUGAAUAUUCCUGUACUACCCCUUGUUGGUCUCGAGGGACGAAGGAAGCUAGGUUAGUUGAAAGAUGGUUAUCAGCUCAAUGAGGCAAGGUGCCCCUACUUUUUCAGGGUAGGAAAGGGUAGAAAAAAUGCCCCAAGCCAAUGUUCGAGUACCAGACACUACGACGUUGAAGUAACCCAUGCUAUAUUCCUAGGAAAAGCUCAAACAACCUUCAACAAAAGGGUACCUGUACCCGAAACUUACACAAGUGGGUAGGUAGAGAAUACCUAGAGGCGCGAGACAACUCACUCUAAGGAACUUGAUAAAAUAACCUUGUAACUUCGGGAGAAGGGGUGCCUCCUCACAAAGGAGGUCGCAGUGACUAAGCCUGGGCAACUGUUUACAAAAAAUACAGAUCUCCGUAAAGUCGUAAGACCAUGUAUAAGGGUUGACGCCUACCUAGUACAGGAAUGUCAAGGAAGUUGGUGACCUGAUGAUAGGGAAGCUGGUGACCAAAGCUCUAGUGAAUGAUGACCAUAACUAUAACGGUCCGACCAUAACUAUAACGGUCCUAAGGUAGCGAAAUUCCUUGUCAGGUAAGUUUCGACUUGUACGAAAGGCUUAACGAUCUGGGCACUGGCUCGGAGAGAGGCUCAAUGAAAUAG